rnacentral:lncRNA from 1 species
CUCGUCUACUGGAUCAACAACCUUGUUGUUUUCUUUCUGCUCUCUCUGUUGCUUCUCUUUGAAAACUUCCCACCACUUUCCUAAUCUUUUAGCAGUUCGACCUGGUACUUCAGCUGCUAUUUUCUUCCAUUUGUUACCGUGUUUGGCUUGUAGUUGUAUAACAAGACGCUGCUCGUCUUCAGUGAGUGAUCCUUUUUUAAUCCCUGGUUUGAGGUAGUUUUUCCACCUUUCUAAACAAGACUUCGCGUCCCUGUUAAGGGGCGUGUUCAUACGCUGUGAUACAAGGUGCCAUUCUUUUGGUCCAUACUGUCUCACG